rnacentral:rRNA from 1 species
AGAGUUUGAUCCUGGCUCAGGAUGAACGCUGGCGGCGUGCUUAACACAUGCAAGUCGAACGAAGCACUUUAUUUGAUUUCCUUCGGGACUGAUUAUUUUGUGACUGAGUGGCGGACGGGUGAGUAACGCGUGGGUAACCUGCCUUGUACAGGGGGAUAACAGUUGGAAACGGCUGCUAAUACCGCAUAAGCGCACGGCAUCGCAUGAUGCAGUGUGAAAAACUCCGGUGGUAUAAGAUGGACCCGCGUUGGAUUAGCUAGUUGGUGAGGUAACGGCCCACCAAGGCGACGAUCCAUAGCCGACCUGAGAGGGUGACCGGCCACAUUGGGACUGAGACACGGCCCAAACUCCUACGGGAGGCAGCAGUGGGGAAUAUUGCACAAUGGGCGAAAGCCUGAUGCAGCAACGCCGCGUGAGUGAAGAAGUAUUUCGGUAUGUAAAGCUCUAUCAGCAGGGAAGAUAAUGACGGUACCUGACUAAGAAGCACCGGCUAAAUACGUGCCAGCAGCCGCGGUAAUACGUAUGGUGCAAGCGUUAUCCGGAUUUACUGGGUGUAAAGGGAGCGCAGGCGGUGCGGCAAGUCUGAUGUGAAAGCCCGGGGCUCAACCCCGGUACUGCAUUGGAAACUGUCGUACUAGAGUGUCGGAGGGGUAAGCGGAAUUCCUAGUGUAGCGGUGAAAUGCGUAGAUAUUAGGAGGAACACCAGUGGCGAAGGCGGCUUACUGGACGACUACUGACGCUGAGGCUCGAAAGCGUGGGGAGCAAACAGGAUUAGAUACCCUGGUAGUCCACGCCGUAAACGAUGAA